GCAGAGUCUACAAACAGUUUGUUUCAAAUCUGCUCCACCCAAAGGAAUGUUCAGCUCUGUGAGUUGAACUCAAUCAUCCCAAAGUAUUUUCUGAGAAUGCUUCUGUCCAGUUUUUACAUGAAGCUGUUUCCUUUACUACCGUAGGCCUCAAAGCGUUCCAAACCUCCACUUGCAGAUACUACAAAAAGAGCGUUUCAACCUGAACUCACAAGGGAAGGUUCAACUCUGUCAGUUGAAUGCCAACAUCACCAAGAACUUCUGAGAAUGUUCCUCUUCAGUUAUGUGAGGUUUAUCCCGUUUCCCACGAAAUUCUCAGAGAAGUCCCAAAAUCCACUUGCAUAUUCCACAAAAGGUGUGUUUGGAAAAUGCGCCAUCAAAAGAUAUGCUCAGCUCUGUGAGUUAAACUCAAUCAUCGCAAAGAAUUUUCUGAGAAUGCUUCCGUCUUGUUUUUAGAUGAAGUUCUUUCCUUUACUACGAUAGGCCUCAAAGAGGUCCAAAUCUCCACUUGCAGAUUCUGCAGAAGGAGUGUUUCAAACCUGAACUGUCAGAGAAAGGUUCAACACUGUGAGUUGAAUGCAAGCAUCACGAAGAAGGUUCUGAGAAUGCUUCUGUUUACGUAGGUGACUUUUCUCCCGUAUCCAGCGAAAUCCUCAGAGCGGUCCAAAUCUCCACUUGCAGAUUCUACACAAAGUGUGUUUGGAAACUGCUCCACCCAAAGGAAUGUUCAGCUCUGUGAGUUGAACUCAAUCGUCACAAAGCGUUUCCUGGGAAUGCUCCUGUCUCGCUUUUAUGUGCAGUUAUAUCCUCUACUGCCAUAGGCCUCAAAGCGGUCCAAAUCUCCCCUUUCAGAUUCUACCAGAAGUGUGUUUCCAAAUGGCCCCAUCAAAGGGGAUGUUCAACUCAGUGACUUGAAUGCAAU
rnacentral:lncRNA from 1 species